rnacentral:rRNA from 1 species
UACGGGGGAAGCAGCAGUAGGGAAUCUUCGGCAAUGGGGGCAACCCUGACCGAGCAACGCCGCGUGAGUGAAGAAGGUUUUCGGAUCGUAAAGCUCUGUUGUAAGUCAAGAACGGGUGUGAGAGUGGAAAGUUCACACUGUGACGGUAGCUUACCAGAAAGGGACGGCUAACUACGUGCCAGCAGCCGCGGUAAUACGUAGGUCCCGAGCGUUGUCCGGAUUUAUUGGGCGUAAAGCGAGCGCAGGCGGUUUGAUAAGUCUGAAGUUAAAGGCUGUGGCUCAACCAUAGUUCGCUUUGGAAACUGUCAAACUUGAGUGCAGAAGGGGAGAGUGGAAUUCCAUGUGUAGCGGUGAAAUGCGUAGAUAUAUGGAGGAACACCGGUGGCGAAAGCGGCUCUCUGGUCUGUAACUGACGCUGAGGCUCGAAAGCGUGGGGAGCGAACAGGAUUAGAUACCCUGGGGUAG